AUGUUAGACUGUGGAGUAAAUUCUAUGGACAAAACCAAGGACAUUUAGGGGCCCUCACGGGAGUGUCUCCCGACAGUAAGCACUUUGCUGUUUUGACGUUUACUGAUUGGAAGUUGGUUUCACGUGACGAGGCAUCAUGCUCGAAGACGCUAUUCGUGUUGAUGUUUGCCUUGUGCUCCAUUUAACUGCUUUCGUUGUUUGUUGCUGCAUCUUGUUAUUUCGUUGCUGCUGUUCCGUUUUGUUAUUGUUUAGUUAAACAUGAAUGAUUCCCACGAAACGCUCUAUAAGUGUGAGUAAUGCAGGUUUAAAAUGCGAAAGAACCUCUACGCCCAUAUGAGGAAAGCUCAUGAACUUGACAUCCAUGUGUCUUAAAACAGGAAAAGGCUGUGGAUUGUGUCCCCAGUGCGGAAUUGCAUUUAUGAGAUGCAGUUCAUUAAAACGGCAUCAAAUAACUGUGCAUGGCAUGAAGUCGAAGGAAACAGUCGGAAAUGCCGCAUUAGUUGCCCACAGUGCUCUCCUCGUUUCUCUCCUAUGACACAUUGAGAACACAUAUGCAAGAGAACCAUGAUGUUAGUUUUGAGUGCCAGGAGAUAGAAUUUGGUUGUCUUGCAGACUUUGAAGAGUGGAAACUUUCUUACGAAAAAGUAAACCAUUUUCGUUAUGUAAUGAACUGUUUGGAGCAGAAGCGACUAGAAAAACGUGUUCGAUAUUACCAUUGACAUUGGUGUUUCAAUUUCAGUUCUAAAGGAACAGGUGCCAGGCGUGUCAAAAGUAUGGGCACGAAUAAGAUGGGCAGUGCUUGUCCAUCCAGCAUGCAGGUGACAAUAACAGACGACAAAUGCUGCUUAAAUUUUUUUCCAAAACAUAUGGGACACACCCAAGAUGUUGGAAGAACAUUUCUGCAUAGGAACGAGAGGGCAGAGUUGGCAGGACUGCUGUCACAGGGUGUUCCUGUUGGACGAGUUCUACAAGAUGUGCAAAGUGCACCAAUCACUGCAAGUGUGGAGAGAAUCCAUCUCCUUGAGAAAAAAGAUUUGCAUAAUAUAAAAAGGGAUUUUGAUAUUGGUUAUGCAACGAAGAAGCAUGAAAAUGAUGCAGUGAGUGUGAAAUUGUGUGUUGAAGAAAUGAAGAGACAAAGUGCCAACCCAGUACUGUAUUUCAAGCAGCAAAACAAGUGGAUCCUAAUUUUCAAGAUGAAGACUUCAUUCUUAUUAUAAUGACGGACUUUCAGGCUGAACAACUUCUAAAGUAUGGAGAAGAUAAAAUAUGUGUGGAUGGCACUCAUAGCAUGACUGCAAACGAUUUUCAACUUUUUUUAUUGUCAUCGUCGAUAGAUAUGGUGCUGCAUUGCCAGUUGCAUUUUGUUUUUCAAAUAGGGGAGGCAUGUCUUUCUAUUUCAAAUGUGUGAGACAGAGGGUGGGCACUGUAAAGACCAAUGUGUUUAUGUCUGACGGUGCACCAGCAUUUUAUAGUGCACGGUCAGCAGUAAUAGGACCUGUGCCAAACCAGUUGCUGAGUUCUUGGCAUAUACAACGGACCUGGUCUCAGGAUUUAAGGAGAAUUGCUGGGGGUAGCGAGAAAAAAUCAGCAGUGUUUAGUUCACUAAAGCAACUUCAGACUGAACUGGAUGUGGAUGUUUUUAGAUGUAGUCUGGAGAAAGUGGUGGAAGACGUAUUGAAUGAUCCAGAUACUGCAGAAUUUGGCAGGUACUUUAUUCAGAUGUACUGCCAGCGAGUGGAAAAGUGGACGUAUUGCUUUAGGCACCGAUUGGGCAUUAAUACAAACAAUUGCUUGGAGUCCCUACAUAAAGUAAUCAAAUACAGUUACCUAGAAGGGAAAAAGUGCAGAAGCUGGACAAGUCAUUAAAUGCUUUGUUAUGUUUAGUGAGAGACAAAGUAUAUGAGGGCUUAGUGAAGGUCUCAAAACGUAAACAAUGCUCUAGGGCGUCAAGAGUGAAAGCGAGCCACGACGAUAGCUCAGAUAUAACAGAUGGGAUGAUUUUAUGCAGGGGUGAAGGGUUGUGUGAAGUGCUUUCUUCCACUGGUUGUGAAGUGUAUGUUGUCAUAAAAAAAUCAGAAGUGAUAUGUGACAGAAAAUGUUCACUUAAGUGCAACAUCUGCAACAUGUGUGUGCAUUCGUAUCAAUGCAGUUGUUUAUACAACACUUUAAAUUUUAACAUAUGUAAGCAUACACAUGCAUGUGCCAAAUCAUUGUCUGGUGCUGUCCUGGAGAGUGAACAGUGUUCCUUGUCGUCCAGUGCAGACGAUGCAUAUGUGUCAGCAUUGCUUUCUGGCAAUUCAGAAAAAUCUGCUGACACAUUCAAAUGGGAUGUGAUGUCUCACUGUGAAACUAUAGUUGCACUCGGGAAAGGAACACAGUGUGAACAGGAGACUAAGGCCAAAGUAUUGAAGGAUCUGAAGAAGAUCAUUGGCAAUCUUAAUAAAGAUUAUUCUUUCUCACAAGAAAAUACAGUAAAUGUGAAUGCCGAGAUUGAAUCUCAGACUAGAUUUUUUUUCCACAAAGCAGAAAAGGAUUUUGUGAGGGGUGAUGAAGAGUUAAAAAAAAAAGUAAACUCCAGGUUGAAAUAUUAACAAUAUUAGGAAAGAAAUAGUUUGCUACUCACUCUGAAGGUGACAUGUUGAGUUGCAGACAGGCACAAUGUAAAGAAUGUUACACAUUUGGUUCUUGGCCACAGCCUUCUCCAGAGAACAAAACACGAACAGAUUAACACUAGUAAGCAAUAUCUCCCAUUGCAGAUAGUGGACAUGUGUGCCGGGAGUGUGCCUGUGUGUGUAAAUCUAUUUGUAGUAUUUUUUUUUUUUUUUCCUCUGAAGAAGGCUUUGGCCAAAAGUUAAAUGUGUAACAGUCUUUACAUUGUGCCUGUACAGUGAAUAGCAAAAUUUCCUUUUCCUAGUAUUGUUAAUGCACAUAAAGGUCUUCAUGUACAUUAUGGCAAUUGUGUGUGUGUGUGUGUGUGUGUGUGUGUGUGUGUGUGUGUGAGAGAGAGAGAGAGAGAGAGAGAGAGAGAGAGAGAGAGAGAGAGAUAUUCCAUGUAGUUGAAGGUGAAUAAAAAUUUUAAUUUACUUUUGCAUUUUUUGAGUUUUGUUAGUCAUGGUAUAC